CUAGAAACGAAAGCAUAUAGUGACUAAUUCUUGCUGACGUGUAAACAGUUGCUUCCGGUCCAUUGUCGUGAAAAGCAAAACUAUCUGAGCUAAAUACCAAAUUAUUCAUUUUGUCAAAAAUUUGAAGUUGGCUACAAGUUUGAAGCAAUAAAACCAAGGUUUAAUCAUUCAACAUUUCUAUAAAAAAGUCAGAUCUCAAGAUUAUUGCUCCUUGGUUCUGUGUAGAAAGCCUGAAGAGAUCUGGAGUUUUAGAGGAAAUAAAGCUAAAGAUUGUUGUCUCUUGUUCCUGUGGAGAAGAUUUGGAGUUAGUGGAGUUUAGAAAGGAUUAAAGAAUUUGCAAUAUCACGAAGUAGUAAAUCAAAAAAUAUUACUCAAAGGGUCUUCCUAAGUAUCAAUUUUAUUGAAAAUGGGUCAGACAUUGAACUUUUUGUUUGCUAUUAUAAUUGCUUUAAUUGGCUUUUAUAUUUGUAAAAAUUUUGACUAUGUAAAAUUUUUGGAGUUCAUGUUUCCUACGAAUGAUGAAAGCAGACAUCGUGAAUUAACUUGGGAUCAAUGCUAUAUUUUGAUGGACUUGGACAUAAUUUGAGUUUACUGACAAUUUCAUUAACCAUUUUUAAUAAAAAAUUUAUGUUUUUCAAAAAGUUGGA